AGCAGCCGCGGUAAUUCCAGCUCCAAUAGCGUAUAUUAAAGUUGUUGCAGUUAAAAAGCUCGUAGUUGAAUUUCAGGCCUGGCCGGACGGUCCGCCCUUCGGGUGAGUACUGUCUGUGGUCGGGUCCUACCUUCUGGCGAAGCGUCAUGGCCUUAACCGGCCGUGGCGGGGAACCAGGACUUUUACUGUGAAAAAAUUAGAGUGUUCAAAGCAGGCAAUCGCUUGGAUACAUUAGCAUGGAAUAAUGGAAUAGGACAAUGGUUCUAUUUGUUGGUUUCUAGGACCGUUGUAAUGAUUAAUAGGGAUAGUUGGGGGCAUUAGUAUUCAAUUGUCAGAGGUGAAAUUCUUGGAUUUAUUGAAGACUAACUACUGCGAAAGCAUUUGCCAAGGAUGUUUUCAUUAAUCAAGAACGAAAGUUAGGGGAUCGAAGACGAUCAGAUACCGUCGUAGUCUUAACCAUAAACUAUGCCGACUAGGAAUCGGGCGAUGUUGACAAAAUGACGC
rnacentral:rRNA from 1 species